UUGAAGAGUUUGAUCAUGGCUCAGAUUGAACGCUGGCGGCAGGCCUAACACAUGCAAGUCGAGCGGUAGCACAGAGAGCUUGCUCUCGGGUGACGAGCGGCGGACGGGUGAGUAAUGUCUGGGAAACUGCCUGAUGGAGGGGGAUAACUACUGGAAACGGUAGCUAAUACCGCAUAACGUCGCAAGACCAAAGUGGGGGACCUUCGGGCCUCAUGCCAUCAGAUGUGCCCAGAUGGGAUUAGCUAGUAGGUGGGGUAACGGCUCACCUAGGCGACGAUCCCUAGCUGGUCUGAGAGGAUGACCAGCCACACUGGAACUGAGACACGGUCCAGACUCCUACGGGAGGCAGCAGUGGGGAAUAUUGCACAAUGGGCGCAAGCCUGAUGCAGCCAUGCCGCGUGUAUGAAGAAGGCCUUCGGGUUGUAAAGUACUUUCAGCGGGGAGGAAGGCGAUAAGGUUAAUAACCUUGUCGAUUGACGUUACCCGCAGAAGAAGCACCGGCUAACUCCGUGCCAGCAGCCGCGGUAAUACGGAGGGUGCAAGCGUUAAUCGGAAUUACUGGGCGUAAAGCGCACGCAGGCGGUCUGUCAAGUCGGAUGUGAAAUCCCCGGGCUCAACCUGGGAACUGCAUUCGAAACUGGCAGGCUAGAGUCUUGUAGAGGGGGGUAGAAUUCCAGGUGUAGCGGUGAAAUGCGUAGAGAUCUGGAGGAAUACCGGUGGCGAAGGCGGCCCCCUGGACAAAGACUGACGCUCAGGUGCGAAAGCGUGGGGAGCAAACAGGAUUAGAUACCCUGGUAGUCCACGCCGUAAACGAUGUCGAUUUGGAGGUUGUGCCCUUGAGGCGUGGCUUCCGGAGCUAACGCGUUAAAUCGACCGCCUGGGGAGUACGGCCGCAAGGUUAAAACUCAAAUGAAUUGACGGGGGCCCGCACAAGCGGUGGAGCAUGUGGUUUAAUUCGAUGCAACGCGAAGAACCUUACCUGGUCUUGACAUCCACAGAACUUGCAGAGAUGCUUGGUGCCUUCGGGAACUGUGAGACAGGUGCUGCAUGGCUGUCGUCAGCUCGUGUUGUGAAAUGUUGGGUUAAGUCCCGCAACGAGCGCAACCCUUAUCCUUUGUUGCCAGCGGUUAGGCCGGGAACUCAAAGGAGACUGCCAGUGAUAAACUGGAGGAAGGUGGGGAUGACGUCAAGUCAUCAUGGCCCUUACGACCAGGGCUACACACGUGCUACAAUGGCAUAUACAAAGAGAAGCGACCUCGCGAGAGCAAGCGGACCUCAUAAAGUAUGUCGUAGUCCGGAUUGGAGUCUGCAACUCGACUCCAUGAAGUCGGAAUCGCUAGUAAUCGUAGAUCAGAAUGCUACGGUGAAUACGUUCCCGGGCCUUGUACACACCGCCCGUCACACCAUGGGAGUGGGUUGCAAAAGAAGUAGGUAGCUUAACCUUCGGGAGGGCGCUUACCACUUUGUGAUUCAUGACUGGGGUGAAGUCGUAACAAGGUAACCGUAGGGGAACCUGCGGUUGGAUCACCUCCUU
rnacentral:rRNA from 1 species